rnacentral:misc_RNA from 1 species
CUGAGUUAGGGUCUUUCAGGCCCGACCUCCCAACCCUUUGUCUACCUUACCACUUGUUGCUUCGGCGGGUCCGUCCUGAAAAGGACCGCCGGGGGGCCGUGAAACGCCCUCUGGUCCGCGCCCGCCGACAGCCCCCUUCUAUAAACUCUGAAUAAACGUGAUAUUAUCUGAGUACAAAUUUUAAAUAAAAGCA